rnacentral:sRNA from 1 species
CCCCUCCGGCAGGCUGCCGCCAGCGUCGCUGCGGCUCCGGCCCGGGAGCGAGCGCCCGGAGCUCGGAAGGAGGCGGCGCCCGCGGCGGCCUGGGGGUCUCGGGGGAUCCGGGGGUCUCCGGCUGCUCCUCUGCCUCCUGCUGCUGAGCAGCCGCCCGGGGGCUGCAGCGCCGUUAGUGCCCACGGCUGUCUAUUUGACCGCAGGCUCUGCUCUCACCUGGAAGUCUGUAUUCAGGGUGAGUGAGGCCCAAGCAUAGAACUCACAAGAUCGGGGGGAGAGGGGCAAUAAAAAACAAGAAGGGGAGAGAAGGCCCAGAAAGGAAGAGGGCUACUGGGCUUGAGAAGAAGGAAGACUUGCCUGGAGGAGGAGAGGUAGGGGAGGAGGUGAAGAGAGUACUGUCCAUUUGCAACCUGGACUUUGGAAGGCCUCUUAUUCAAGCCCCCUGCUGACACCACUUUUGUGCCCUUAGAUGGCUUGUUUGGGCAGUGCCAGGUGGGAGUGGGGCAGGCCCGGCCCCUUUUGCAAGUCACCUCCCCGGUUCUCC